CGGACGGGUGAGUAAUGUCUGGGAAACUGCCCGAUGGAGGGGGAUAACUACUGGAAACGGUAGCUAAUACCGCAUAACGUCGCAAGAUCAAAGAGGGGGACCUUCGGGCCUCUUGCCAUCGGAUGUGCCCAGAUGGGAUUAGCUAGUAGGUGGGGUAACGGCUCACCUAGGCGACGAUCCCUAGCUGGUCUGAGAGGACGAUCAGCCACACUGGGACUGAGACACGGCCCAG
rnacentral:rRNA from 1 species